UGUGCGUAGGAAUUUUUUUGAAAUUACUACGUUCCCCAACAAUGCUCUCUCACUCUCUGUUGUAGCAGAGCAGUUUGAUAACAAAUCUACUUGCUGGGAAAAUUCCAUCGGUUAAAUGUGUAAUUAGUUUACUGCUAGCUUUUGUUUUCUAUGGUAUCUCAUAUCCAUUUGGUUCAUGCAAAAAUCAACAGUUUCUUUUGCAUGCAGUGCAUGAUAGAGAUACAAAAUAUGCAUACUUCGUUCAGUGAAUGAUUGUUAUAUGUGAUUUAUAGUUGUUAUCUGUAAGUUACGACAGCUCUUGUUUUUUUCAACUUGCACUGCACACAAGCUACUAAAAUUAAUUACUCACGCCAACGUUUUUCAUAUACUCGUUUAUGAGGAUCAGGAUAGGCAACAGAACAGAGUCUUGCAGCAAUAUGGAGCACCGACAAGGUAGGGAUGACCAUGAAGGGGUGCAGGUUGUUGGAUUUGAAGUCCCAUCAUCACCAGACUCAAGCUACAGCUACCCUAUCCCUGGAAACAAAGACGAAGCUCGAGAGCCCCCAUUGGUUUCUCCUCACCUGCAGCAUAUACUGCUGAGCUUCCCACCAAGCCAUGACGAUGGGAGAAGCCUCCCUCUGCCCUCACCUACUCUAUAUUGCAGCUUGCAGCAUCCGAUGAGAAACCAAGGUAGUUCCUCGGCCUGGCAGAUAACUCUCUAGACAUAAUUCUUUCACAAGUCACUGAUAGCAAUUUGAGUCAUGCCUCAGUUUGGAAUAGGUCUGCAUCAUGGAGGUCUAAAUAUUAGAGAUAGAUCCUUGGUCGAGGAACUCUUUUCAAACAAUAAGAUUCAGGUAUUGGUAUGCACUAGCACACUGGCUUGGGGUGUCAAUCUUCCAUCUCACCUUUCCAUAAUCAAGGGUACUGAAUACUAUGGUGAGAAAACAAAAAGAUAUGUUGAUUAUGUUAUCACAGAUAUUCUACAAAUGAUGGGUCGUGCAGGCCGACCACAGUAUGACCAACAUGGCAAAGCUGUUAUUCUUGUUCAUGAACCAGAGCUUUUAAGGUGGCAUGUUAACUUUGUGUACAUAACAAACAGUCCGAUGCUUAUUCAUCUUGAGUUUAACUCUCAUUAUUGUGAUUGUUUAGUUCUUGUAUGAGUCGUUUCCUGUCGAAAGUAAUCUGAGGGAGCACUUGCACCUUUACUUACCAAAUUUUUGUACUCCGAUGCCUCUAUGGCCAAAACCAGUAGCAACAGCAAGAAGGAGAAGCAACAACGAGGAUACCUUUCUAUGAGUCAUUUUCAAUAUUUACUUGCUGUAGGUAAAGGGCAUAGAUUCAACUUCCAAUGUCUGUUACGAACAGAGUUCCCUGGAAAUGUGUCAAAACAAAUAGCUGAUAACCGGCAAUUUUCCACCAAUGGAAGCCCGCGUGAUUUAGAUACAGUGAAUAGGUCGACAAGUGCGAGCGCGUCAACACUAUCGACGAUGACGAUGCUGGGUCGACUUGCAAACGAAAUGGUUACUAUUAUGACUGUAUUGCAUUGGUGUUAUGGCUGCCACCUUCAGCUACUGUGGGUUCCGCCACGCCCAGGUAUGCCCAUCUCCAUUGCCUUUCUCUGGAUUCACUACCCCUCUUGGUUUCUGAUUAUUGUUUGUUCUCAUAUACCUCGAAUUUCCAUGAGUGCGAUCUGAUGAAUGAGUAUCCCGUGUCUGCGGCAACUCGCAUGGCCUGAUCCGGAAGUACGGGUCUGCAGGCAUUGCUUCCGCACCAACGCCAAGGACAUUGGCUUCAUCAAGUUAUGAGCCACCCCCACUGUUUAUUGACUCCCUGAAUCAUGUGCCUGAGUAUGAUGACUGCUGAGUAGUAAUAUGUUACCCCACGCUUUGCUUUGAACAAUAUAUAUGCUUUGUCUACAAGGCCUCUUGGUAUGGCGCACCAAUUUUAAUUUGUUGGAGACUACCAUCUGGUAGUGUGAGUUAUUGCAUAAUGUAGUGUAAUGUAUGAAAUAUUAGAUUCAGUUAUUCAGGUUAAGUUCUGUGAUCGUCACCUCAUGUUCUGCCUUGCAUUAUUUUGUAUUUGUUUGAUGAAUGUGUAAUUUCUAAGCACCAUAAGGCAUGUUGGAAUGAACCGAGUUGUGCAUGACUACAUGAUAUUAGCUAUGUUUGUUUGCUGUUCACACCUAUAUAAGUCUUACUCUGGUGCAUCUAUCUCCAGUCUCAGCCAUUUUUACUAACCGUCACCUACCAAGUUUUUUUUCUCAGCAUACCAGUGCAUUUCAAAGCAGAACAAAUUGAGUGUAUUGCAAUUGCUCAAAUAUUUAUUAAGUAGGUAUAUAUACAUUGUAUAUAUUUAUUUCCUGAAUAACGAUGAUUUA